rnacentral:rRNA from 1 species
GUCCACGCCCUAACGAUGUCAACUGGUUGUUGGGAAGGUUCCUUCUCAGUAACGAAGCUAACGCGUGAAGUUGACCGCCUGGGGAGUACGGCCGCAAGGUUGAACUCAAGGAAUUGACGGGACCCGCACAAGCGGUGGAUGAUGUGGUUUAAUUUCGAUGCAACGCGAAAACCUUAACCUACCCUUGACAUGUCUGAAAUCCUGUAGAGAUAUGGGAGUGCUCGAAAGAGAAUCAGAACACAGGUGCUGCAUGGCCGUCGU